GAAAAUAAUUGGCUCCUGCGAUCAACGAUCGGGAAAAUCUUUUGGGUGGCUGUCAAAUGAUUUGUGGCAAACCAGUACAACAGCAGCGAACCGAAAGUUGCUGCUAAUUUCCAUGGGGCGCUGCACGGGGCCAAUUAGGAGAGUGGUUUGGCCUGGCAAGGGCAGGUGUUGGGUUGACAAGAUCAUCGGCACUACCGGCCCUGAUGACCUCCACGCUGACCACGGAGAAAAAAGGAAAAUGCUGCCACGAUUCAGGGUCCCAUUCGACCGCCAAAAAGGAUGCACAUUGGAUUCACCCACCAGUGUGAAAAAAUGUUUUUGAAUUUUUCAAAAAUAAAUCUUGACUGGAAUGUUAAAAUAAAACAACCUAAAUUCAUCCAAUUUUGAAGACAAUAAA